rnacentral:rRNA from 1 species
CGCGAAAACUUGGCAAUGCGAGAAAUCGUGACCAGGGAACUCCAAGUGGCUGGGGUAAGACCCAGUCUUUUCUUGACUCUUCAAAGGUCUUGGAAUAAGAGGUGGGUAAGGACGGUGCCAGCCGCCGCGGUAAUACCGGCGCCUCAAGUGGUAGUCGAUUUUAUUGGGCCUAAAACGUCCGUAGCCUGUUUGGUACAUUCGUGGGUAAAUCAACCAGCUUAACUGGUUGAAUUCUGCGAGCACGGCCAGACUUGGGACCGGGAGAGGUGUGGGGUACGCUCAGGGUAGGGGUAAAAUCCUGUCAUCCUGAGCGGACCACCUGUUGCGAAGGCGCCACACUAGAACGGAUCCGACGGUCAGGGACGAAGCCUAGGGGCACGAACCGGAUUAGAUACCCGGGUAGUCCUAGGUGUAAACGCUGUGGACUUGGUGUUGGGGAUUCUCCGAGGAUUUUCAGUGCCGAAGCGAAGGUGAUAAGUCCACUGCCUGGGGAGUACGGUCGCAAGGCUGAAACUUAAAGGAAUUGGCGGGGGAGCACCGCAACCUGAGGAUUGUGCGGUUUAAUUGGACUCAACGCCGGGA